rnacentral:rRNA from 1 species
AUUGAACGCUGGCGGCAGGCCUAACACAUGCGAGUCGAAUGGUAACAGGAAACAGCUUGCUGUUUCGCUGACGAGUGGCGGACGGGUGAGUAAUGUCUGGGAAACUGCCUGAUGGAGGGGGAUAACUACUGGAAACGGUAGCUAAUACCGCAUAACGUCGCAAGACCAAAGAGGGGGACCUUCGGGCCUCUUGCCAUCAGAUGUGCCCAGAUGGGAUUAGCUAGUAGGUGGGGUAACGGCUCACCUAGGCGACGAUCCCUAGCUGGUCUGAGAGGAUGACCAGCCACACUGGAACUGAGACACGGUCCAGACUCCUACGGGAGGCAGCAGUGGGGAAUAUUGCACAAUGGGCGCAAGCCUGAUGCAGCCAUGCCGCGUGUAUGAAGAAGGCCUUCGGGUUGUAAAGUACUUUCAGCGGGGAGGAAGGGAGUAAAGUUAAUACCUUUGCUCAUUGACGUUACCCGCAGAAGAAGCACCGGCUAACUCCGUG